UACAGAGGUGGCAAGCGUUGUUCGGAAUUACUGGGCGUAAAGCGUGCGUAGGUGGUCUCUUAAGUCCGUUGUGAAAGCCCUGGGCUCAACCUGGGAACUGCAGUGGAUACUGAGAAGCUAGAGUGUGUCAGAGGAUGGUGGAAUUCCCGGUGUAGCGGUGAAAUGCGUAGAGAUCGGGGAGGAACAUCAGUGGCGAAGGCGGCCAUCUGGGACAACACUGACGCUGAGGCACGAAAGCUAGGGGAGCGAAUGGGG
rnacentral:rRNA from 1 species